rnacentral:rRNA from 1 species
UGCAGUCGACGAGACCUUCGGGUCUAGUGGCGCACGGGUGCGUAACGCGUGGGAACCUGCCUUUAGGUUCGGAAUAACUCAGAGAAAUUUGAGCUAAUACCGGAUAAUGUCUUCGGACCAAAGAUUUAUCGCCUUUAGAUGGGCCCGCGUUGGAUUAGCUAGUUGGUGGGGUAAAGGCCUACCAAGGCGACGAUCCAUAGCUGGUCUGAGAGGAUGAUCAGCCACACUGGGACUGAGACACGGCCCAGACUCCUACGGGAGGCAGCAGUGGGGAAUAUUGGACAAUGGGCGAAAGCCUGAUCCAGCAAUGCCGCGUGAGUGAUGAAGGCCUUAGGGUUGUAAAGCUCUUUUACCAGGGAUGAUAAUGACAGUACCUGGAGAAUAAGCUCCGGCUAACUCCGUGCCAGCAGCCGCGGUAAUACGGAGGGAGCUAGCGUUGUUCGGAAUUACUGGGCGUAAAGCGCACGUAGGCGGCUUUUUAAGUCAGGGGUGAAAUCCCGGGGCUCAACCCCGGAACUGCCCUUGAAACUGGGAAGCUAGAAUCUUGGAGAGGCGAGUGGAAUUCCGAGUGUAGAGGUGAAAUUCGUAGAUAUUCGGAAGAACACCAGUGGCGAAGGCGACUCGCUGGACAAGUAUUGACGCUGAGGU